ACAGCAGCAGCCGCGGUAAUACGGAGGGUGCAAGCGUUAAUCGGAAUUACUGGGCGUAAAGCGCACGCAGGCGGUCUGUCAAGUCAGAUGUGAAAUCCCCGGGCUUAACCUGGGAACUGCAUUUGAAACUGGCAGGCUAGAGUCUUGUAGAGGGGGGUAGAAUUCCAGGUGUAGCGGUGAAAUGCGUAGAGAUCUGGAGGAAUACCGGUGGCGAAGGCGGCCCCCUGGACAAAGACUGACGCUCAGGUGCGAAAGCAUGGGGAGCAAACAGGAUUAGAUACCCCUGUAGUCCCUGUCUCUUAUAC
rnacentral:rRNA from 1 species